rnacentral:rRNA from 1 species
UACAGAGGUCCCAAGCGUUGUCCGGAAUCAUUGGGCGUAAAGAGCGUGUAGGCGGCUUGGCAAGUCUGACGUGAAAGCCCGCGGCUCAACCGCGGAUUGUCGUUGGAAACUGCCUCGCUAGAGUCCGGAAGAGGAGAGCGGAAUUCCUGGUGUAGCGGUGGAAUGCGCAGGAUAUCAGGAAGAACACCCGUGGCGAAGGCGGCUCCUCUGGGACGGUACUGACGGCUGAGACGCGAAAGCGUGGGGAGCGAACAGGAUU